rnacentral:lncRNA from 1 species
GUUGGGAAAUAUACACAAAUAAUUCCGCCCAUUAUCAAAUCGAAAGCAAUAUCAAAGAUAUAAAUUAUCUAAGACGGGAAAAAAUAAUGACACCGAUAUUUAACGUGGUUCGGCCAAACUGCCUACGUCCACGGACCCACCCCAAUAUAUUAGAGAAUCUCACAAAAUGAGGAGUACAACAAUACCACACUGUAUUUUGUAUCUUGCCUACACAGAGGCUAUCUCUCGACUCACUUUUAUCACUCGUGUAUAACUUCCACACUGAAGUUUUCUCUCACAAGAUUUUUCUCUCUAUCUCUCUCUCUAGAGAA